rnacentral:rRNA from 1 species
AGUUUGAUCCUGGCUCAGGAUGAACGCUAGCUACAGGCUUAACACAUGCAAGUCGAGGGGCAGCAUUGGAGUAGCAAUACUUCAGAUGGCGACCGGCGCACGGGUGAGUAACACGUAUCCAACCUGCCGCUUACUCGGGGAUAGCCUUUCGAAAGAAAGAUUAAUACCCGAUGGUAUAAAGAGUUCGCAUGUUCUCUUUAUUAAAGAAUUUCGGUAAGCGAUGGGGAUGCGUUCCAUUAGAUAGUUGGCGGGGUAACGGCCCACCAAGUCUACGAUGGAUAGGGGUUCUGAGAGGAAGGUCCCCCACAUUGGAACUGAGACACGGUCCAAACUCCUACGGGAGGCAGCAGUGAGGAAUAUUGGUCAAUGGACGCGAGUCUGAACCAGCCAAGUAGCGUGAAGGAUGACUGCCCUAUGGGUUGUAAACUUCUUUUAUAAGGGAAUAAAGUGAGGGACGUGUCCCUUUUUGUAUGUACCUUAUGAAUAAGGAUCGGCUAACUCCGUGCCAGCAGCCGCGGUAAUACGGAGGAUCCAAGCGUUAUCCGGAUUUAUUGGGUUUAAAGGGAGCGUAGGUUGACAUAUAAGUCAGCUGUGAAAGUUUACGGCUCAACCGUGAAAUUGCAGUUGAUACUGUAUGUCUUGAGUGUACAAGAGGUGGGCGGAAUUCGUGGUGUAGCGGUGAAAUGCUUAGAUAUCACGAAGAACUCCAAUUGCGAAGGCAGCUCACUGGGGUACAACUGACGCUGAGGCUCGAAAGUGUGGGUAUCAAACAGGAUUAGAUACCCUGGUAGUCCACACAGUAAACGAUGAAUACUCGCUGUUUGCGAUAUACAGUAAGCGGCCAAGCGAAAGCAUUAAGUAUUCCACCUGGGGAGUACGCCGGCAACGGUGAAACUCAAAGGAAUUGACGGGGGCCCGCACAAGCGGAGGAACAUGUGGUUUAAUUCGAUGAUACGCGAGGAACCUUACCCGGGCUUGAAUUGCAGAGGAACAUAGUUGAAAGAUUAUGGCCGCAAGGUCUCUGUGAAGGUGCUGCAUGGUUGUCGUCAGCUCGUGCCGUGAGGUGUCGGCUUAAGUGCCAUAACGAGCGCAACCCUUAUCAUUAGUUACUAACAGGUCAUGCUGAGGACUCUAGUGAGACUGCCGUCGUAAGAUGUGAGGAAGGUGG